rnacentral:rRNA from 1 species
AAUACGUUCCCGGACCUCGCACACACCGCCCGUCAAGCCAUGGGAGCCGGGUGUACCUAAAGUCGGUAACCGCAAGGAGCUGCCUAGGGUAAAAUCGGUGACUGGGGCU